rnacentral:rRNA from 1 species
UGACGGUACCUGACUAAGAAGCACCGGCUAAAUACGUGCCAGCAGCCGCGGUAAUACGUAUGGUGCAAGCGUUAUCCGGAUUUACUGGGUGUAAAGGGAGCGUAGGUGGCAAGGCAAGUCUGAAGUGAAAGCUCGGGGCUCAACCCCGGAACUGCUUUGGAAACUGUUUAGAUAGAGUACAGGAGAGGUAAGUGGAAUUCCUAGUGUAGCGGUGAAAUGCUUAGAUAUUAGGAGGAACACCAGUGGCGAAGGCGGUUAGCUGGACAGUAGCUGACGCUGAGGCGCGAAAGCGUGGGUAGCAAACAGGAUUAGAUACCCUG